UUCUCUGUCUGGUGUUAGUGUGCUCCAUCCUGCCCCAGCAAAGGUUGUAAUUCCACCUCUCCACCUGGUUCUCUGUCUGGUGUUAGUGUGCUCCAUCCUGCCCCAGCAAAGGUUGUAAUUCCACCUCUCCACCUGGUUCUCUGUCUGGUGUUAGUGUGCUCCAUCCUGCCCCAGCAAAGGUUGUAAUUCCACCUCUCCACCUGGUUCUCUGUCUGGUGUUAGUGUGCUCCAUCCUGCCCCAGCAAAGGUUGUAAUUCCACCUCUCCACCUGGUUCUCUGUCUGGUGUUAGUGUGCUCCAUCCUGCCCCAGCAAAGGUUGUAAUUCCACCUCUCCACCUGGUUCUCUGUCUGGUGUUAGUGUGCUCCAUCCUGUAUGAAGCUGGAAGGCCUGUAUCAUAAGCUCUCUCUUACUGCCUCUGAUAGAAGUCUACAUUCCUAUAACAUGACAUCCAUAUACUUUUUUUAUAAUAAGGGUCAAGACAGCACCAUUUUAGACUGAGACCUGGAUCAUAUGCCCUACUACUACUACUACUACUACUACUACUACUACUACUACUACUACUACUACUACUACUACUUAUCACACCCAAACCAUGACUACUUAUUAACUACUUCAAGCUCAACUCAUUUCCUAGGGCCAAGAGUUGUUGUAUAUUAAGUAUUAAGAAUUUUAUCGUAGCGACCAUUCCUAUAGUCUUAGUUGUGUGGAAGUGGAAGUCAGGUGGAGUGGGAGCUUGUGGAGUAUUGUCACCCACUCCGCCCCAAAGGGUUUGAUAGGUGGAAUGCUCACCGCGUGCCGACAGCUUGUUCCCGAAGCCUUGCUCUGACACCCACCCUCUACAUCUAGGCAGCUUUGUCAGCCACUGGUCAUUGAAGAGACUGAGGCAAGAGAGAGAUGCAGUUCCUCUUCAUCUUCUUCAUUUAACCCGUCCGCUGCGAUUGUCAGGGAUUCGUCCUUCACUGGUAGCCUGGUAACAUAUAGUCCCAGGUCUUUUUCUUCCUCUGUGGUGGAUAGUGGAGUGUUUCCCAUGUGGUAUUGGUGUGCUGGAUAUCCCUUCACUGGUAGCCUGGUAACAUGUACUCCCAGGUCUUUCUCUGCCUCUGUGGUGGAUAGUGGAGUGUUUCCCAUGUGGUAUUGGUGUGCUGGAUAUCCCUUCACUGGUAGCCUGGUAACAUGUACUCCCAGGUCUUUCUCUGCCUCUGUGGUGGAUAGUGGAGUGUUUCCCAUGUGGUAUUGGUAUGCUGGAUAUCCCUUCACUGGUAGCCUGGUAGCAUAUAGUCCAGGGGUCGGCAGCCUUUUGAACAUAGAGUGCCAAGUCUAAUUAAUGCCUUUUCUUUUAUUACCUUGCAUGCCAGGUGUUAUUUUUUCCCACACUAUAAAGCGUAUGUCCUAUGGAAGUUGAGAUCAUAAUCAUAUACACAGAGUAUGUAGUGACCAUUAUAACUAAAGUAAAGUGUAUUUUCCUGCACAUGUAUAACAUAAAUGUUACAUUUUUGUAGCAAUUAGCAUUCCUUGUAACUAAAAAUAUAUUAUUUUUUAUUUUAAAUUUAUA